rnacentral:rRNA from 1 species
AUUGAACGCUGGCGGCAGGCCUAACACAUGCAAGUCGAACGGUAGCACAGAGAGCUUGCUCUCGGGUGACGAGUGGCGGACGGGUGAGUAAUGUCUGGGAAACUGCCUGAUGGAGGGGGAUAACUACUGGAGACGGUAGCUAAUACCGCAUAAUGUCGCAAGACCAAAGAGGGGGACCUUCGGGCCUCUUGCCAUCGGAUGUGCCCAGAUGGGAUUAGCUAGUAGGUGGGGUAAUGGCUCACCUAGGCGACGAUCCCUAGCUGGUCUGAGAGGAUGACCAGCCACACUGGAACUGAGACACGGUCCAGACUCCUACGGGAGGCAGCAGUGGGGAAUAUUGCACAAUGGGCGCAAGCCUGAUGCAGCCAUGCCGCGUGUAUGAAGAAGGCCUUCGGGUUGUGAAGUACUUUCAGCGGGGAGGAAGGGGUUGAGUUUAAUACGCUCAAUCAUUGACGUUACCCGCAGAAGAAGCACCGGCUAACUCCGUGCCAGCCGCCGCCGUAAAAC